UUGCUACCAAGUGGCAGAGCUGGAAUCAGCGCUACUCAGCCUCACACAUUUUGCUCCCUGUGCCUCUUCAGAACUUCGGCCUGUCACAUGUGUGCAGCUGUGGGAGCCCAGAUUGUGAGUUGAUCAAGGUCAGGGCCACACCCUGCACUUCCUGCCUGACACAGAAAUUGCUCUCUGGGCAGAGGGCUGCGGAGCAGGAGCGAGGCUGCAGGUGUGAGAAGGACCCCGCCGUGCC
rnacentral:lncRNA from 10 species